rnacentral:rRNA from 1 species
UACGGGAGGCAGCAGUGGGGAAUAUUGCACAAUGGGUGCAAGCCUGAUGCAGCCAUGCCGCGUGUAUGAAGAAGGCCUUCGGGUUGUAAAGUACUUUCAGUCGUGAGGAAGGUGUUAAGGUUAAUAACCUUAGCAAUUGACGUUAGCGACAGAAGAAGCACCGGCUAACUCCGUGCCAGCAGCCGCGGUAAUACGGAGGGUGCGAGCGUUAAUCGGAAUUACUGGGCGUAAAGGGCACGCAGGCGGUUAAUUAAGUUGGAUGUGAAAUCCCCGGGCUUAACCUGGGAAUGGCAUUCAAGACUGGUUAGCUAGAGUCUUGUAGAGGGGGUAGAAUUCCAUGUGUAGCGGUGAAAUGCGUAGAGAUGUGGAGGAAUACCGGUGGCGAAGGCGGCCCCUGGACAAAGACUGACGCUCAUGUGCGAAAGCGUGGGGAGCAAACAGGAUUAGAUACC